rnacentral:lncRNA from 1 species
GGACAAUGUUUGAUCAGCAAUAAAGCACUCGACUCUACAUCUAGGGUCCAUAGUGGUAUUCUCAUAACAUUCUAUAUGGUAUUCUCAUAGCGGGUCAAUCCAGUAUAAAUAUUACUCAUAAUAUUCAUACCUAUGUUUAAGACUUGAUAACUCCUUAUCCAUGAUCCAUGAGAUGUGAUCAUCAGUCUAUACACAUAAUAGUCUUAAUGCUUUAAUAUUA